CCCUACGGGGCGCAGCAGUGGGGAAUAUUGCACAAUGGGGGAAACCCUGAUGCAGCGACGCCGCGUGAGUGAAGAAGUAAUUCGUUAUGUAAAGCUCUAUCAGCAGGGAAGAAAAUGACGGUACCUGAGUAAGAAGCCCCGGCUAACUACGUGCCAGCAGCCGCGGUAAUACGUAGGGGGCAAGCGUUAUCCGGAUUUACUGGGUGUAAAGGGAGCGUAGACGGCAGUGCAAGUCUGGAGUGAAAGGC
rnacentral:rRNA from 1 species